rnacentral:rRNA from 1 species
CCCUUAGAUGUUCUGGGCCGCACGCGCGCUACAAUGAUGAAUUCAACGAGUUUAUAACCUUGGUUGAAAAGCCUGGGUAAUCUUUUGAACUUUCGUCGUGAUGGGGCUAGACCCUUGCAAUUAUUGGUCUCCAACGAGGAAUUCCUAGUAAACGCAAGUCAUCAGCUUGCAUUGAUUACGUCCCUGCCCUUUGUACACACCGCCCGUCGCACCUACCGAUUGAAUGGUCCGGUGAAAUCUUCGGAUUGAGACUUUGAUUUCUUCACGGAAAACGCUGUUUUAAAAAGUUGAUUAAAUCUUACCAUUUAGAGGAAGGUGAAGUCGUAACA